GACGAACGCUGGCGGCGUGCUUAACACAUGCAAGUCGAACGGAAAGGCCCUGCUUGCAGGGUACUCGAGUGGCGAACGGGUGAGUAACACGUGGGUGAUCUGCCCUGCACUUCGGGAUAAGCCUGGGAAACUGGGUCUAAUACCGGAUAGGAGCCAAUUUGAGUGUGAUGGUUGGAAAGUUUUUUCGGUGUAGGAUGAGCUCGCGGCCUAUCAGCUUGUUGGUGGGGUAAUGGCCUACCAAGGCGGCGACGGGUAGCCGGCCUGGGAGGGUGGACGGCCACAGUGGGAUUGAGAUACGGCCCAGACUCCUACGGGAGGCAGCAGUGGGGAAUAUUGAACAAUGGGCGCGAGCCUGAUGCAGCGACGCCGCGUGGGGGAUGACGGCCUUCGGGUUGUAAACUCCUUUCGCUAGGGACGAAGCUUUUUGUGACGGUACCUAGAUAAGAAGCACCGGCUAACUACGUG
rnacentral:rRNA from 1 species